ACUUUGUAAUUUUCUUCUGGAAAACCCAGAUUAUCCAAAGAGAGAAGAUAGAAUCAUCAUAAAUCCCAGUAGCAGUCUGCUGGCCAGCCAGGAUGAGACAAAGGCAAGUGUCGUGUUCUUGUUUUGCAAUCGCUACCUGGAAAUGCCCUGCUUUGUUGUUGUUGUUAUCUCUAUGGGAAGAAAGUGCUUUGUUGGGGCAAGUUUUUGAAGACUAGCAGAGGGACAUAGGAUUUCAGAAUAUGUCUAUACUUCAGUGAGGUCUCCCAUUCUGAGCCACUUUGAAUUCUGUCUUUAACUUCUAUCUUUCCUUGUAAUUCUUAUCUUCCUUUUCCCACAAAGAAUUAAACGAAUCCUCCAUAUCUUUAAUCCUACAAAGCAAAUUCCAAGAAUUGGCCAGGACACUAACAUUUUAUUAUGAAAAUUUUCAAACCUACAGAAAAGUUGAAAUAUUUUACGUCGAUCACCUAUAUCCCUACCACUGGUGCUACUAAAAAGUUAACAGUUUACUGUAUCCUUUUUAUCAUACGUAUGUCCUNCACUUGUUUGUUUAUUUAUCUGUUUAGUUUUUCUGGGCUGCACACAUCUUAAUUUCUUAAUAGGCCAGCUGUAAUGUGUGACUAAGGACUAUAUUCUUCAAAUAUUGCAUUUGAAACAAUGGGCAGGUAUGGGAUUUGGAAGCAGUAUGAAAGUAACAUCAUUUGUUUUUGCAGACUUUGUAAUUUUCUUCUGGAAAACCCAGAUUAUCCAAAGAGAGAAGAUAGAAUCAUUAUAAAUCCCAGUAGCAGUCUGCUGGCCAGCCAGGAUGAGACAAAGUUGCCUAAAAUAGACUUUUUUGACUAUUCUAAAUUGACUCCUCUUGACCAGCGCUGCUUCAUCCAAGCUGCUGACCUCCUCAUGGCCGACUUCAAAAUGCUCAGUAGUCAGGACAUCAAGUGGGCCCUGCACGAGCUCAAAGGACACUAUGCAAUCACCCGAAAGUGAUAGGACUUUGAGAGUCAUCAGCAUAUGGAAAAUCUCACCAGCCAGGAUGAGGUACCCGGAGAUAUCAGGUGAGAAGAGAGGACUGCUGACAUGUGAAGACCGAACGGAGGAGGCAGGCAGACAGGAAGGAGGAAGUUGUGAGACUGGAGCAGUCUGUAUUAUCACAUCAUCAUCAUUGUUAUUCUUGUUUACUAACAGGAUCUCUCUCUGUUACCCAGGCUGGAGUACAGUGGCACAAUCAUGGCUUAUUGCAACCUUGACCUUCUGGGCUCAAGCCGUCCUCCUGCCUCAGCUUCCCCUGUAGCUAGGACUACAGGUGCAUACCACCACACCUGGAUGAUCUUUUUAUUUUGUGUUUUGUAGAAAUGGGGUCUUGCUAGAUUGUGCAGGUUGGUCUUGAACUCCUGGCCUCAGGCUGUCCUCCCAUCUCAACCUCCUAAAGCACUGGGAUGCCACCAUGCCCAGCCUGUUAUUAAAUACUGCUAAGAGUUUGUGCAAGAUGAGGGCUAAAAUGUAGAUGGUAGACUUGUAGACUUGGCCACUCAAUAAUAAGCAUAGAUUAGUAAGUGCAAAGGCAGGGUAGAUGCCAGAUUAGAGACAGCUGGAAAGCUUGUGGUCAUAAGGGUGAGGUGGUGAAACAGCAGAUAAACAGCUCCUUUGAUAAGUUUCUCUACAAAGAGGGGAAGAAGAAAGAGGGGCUGGCAUUGAAAGAGAGAUGAGAUCACCUUCUCAACACUGCCACACUGGGGAUUAAGUUUCAGCAGGAGUUUCAGAUAAACACUGCCAUUAUAGCCACCCCCCUUCUCAUGCCGCCCAGGCUUGGACCCCAGCCUGCCCUGCACCCUAACAACAUAGCCAUAGGACAUGAGCCCCAGGGCCUCCUACCCCCUACCACACUCAGGAGUCCCACCCAGUCUUCCUGAAAGGCUCCCACUCUUCCUUCUUCUCUUACAGGCAGAAUGGCCCUACCUCACAUACCCCUCCUUCCUGUUCAAAUCAGGUACCCCUUCUCCCUCCUUUUUUUAGGAUGGCAAAGACUUGAGCACUUUUUUUUUUUUU
rnacentral:lncRNA from 1 species